GGGCGCGUAGCUCAGCGGUAGAGCACUACGGUGACAUCGUAGGGGCCGCUGGUUCGAAACCAGCCGCGCCCACCA
rnacentral:tRNA from 1 species